GUUCUCUCACUGGCUCUUCCAUUUACUCUCAUCCGGGGAUUUAUUUGCUAUUUUCUAAGAAGCACCAGAAGUGAAAGCAUUUGUAAUUCAACAAUAUACUUUUAUCCAGCAAAACACCUUUCUCAUAAUGGUUUCUUUUAAGUCUUUACUUAAAGGCUUUAAGCAUCACUUUCCACUUUGCUUCACCUCAACUUCCAAAGGAAACCAAGACACAUUUUCAACAAAAAUACAGGUUCAGUCAAGUUUUGCCCAUUUCUUUUACUUUACAAAUUCUGAAACUACAUGAAUGAUGUUUGUGGCGUCUGCACAGACUACACUACUCCAUAAUACAGAAGAUUGCAAGAUGAAGAUCCAUUGGGAUCUUCUAGCCCAACUUGAAACAAUACCCUGCAAUUAUUAAUGAGCUAGACUCACUAUAACAAGUUCCAAUAAAAA
rnacentral:misc_RNA from 1 species